AAUCCAUGCAUUAGACAUUUUCGAAUUAAGUCUUUAAAUUGUUCCCAAGCUUCAUAUAGUGUUUCAUCCUCCAAUUUCUAAAAAGACGUGAUGUCGUUACUUAGCUU
rfam:Gossypium raimondii chromosome 2, whole genome shotgun sequence.